rnacentral:rRNA from 1 species
GUAGCAAGGUUAACCGAAUAGGGGAGCCGGAGGGAAACCGAGUCUUAAUUGGGCGUUAAGUUGCAGGGUAUAGACCCGAAACCCGGUGAUCUAGCCAUGGGCAGGUUGAAGGUUGGGUAACACUAACUGGAGGACCGAACCGACUAAUGUUGAAAAAUUAGCGGAUGACCUGUGGCUGGGGGUGAAAGGCCAAUCAAACCGGGAGAUAGCUGGUUCUCCCCGAAAGCUAUUUAGGUAGCGCCUCGUGAAUUCAUCUCCGGGGGUAGAGCACUGUUUCGGCUAGGGGGCCAUCCCGGCUUACCAACCCGAUGCAAACUGCGAAUACCGGAGAAUGUUAUCACGGGAGACACACGGCGGGUGCUAACGUCCGUCGUGAAGAGGGAAACAACCCAGACCGCCAGCUAAGGUCCCAAAGUCAUGGUUAAGUGGGAAACGAUGUGGGAAGGCCCAGACAGCCAGGAUGUUGGCUUAGAAGCAGCCAUCAUUUAAAGAAAGCGUAAUAGCUCACUGGUCGAGUCGGCCUGCGCGGAAGAUGUAACGGGGCUAAACCAUGCACCGAAGCUGCGGCAGCGAACGUAUCACCCAAGACAACUUUACGGAGUUGACGAUUGACGGAGCGAAGCGACGUCAAAGCGUUCAUUAAAGUCGAGUUGGCUUAGGGAUACGUUCGUUGGGUAGGGGAGCGUUCUGUAAGCCUGUGAAGGUGUGUCGUGAGGCAUGCUGGAGGUAUCAGAAGUGCGAAUGCUGACAUAAGUAACGAUAAAGCGGGUGAAAAGCCCGCUCGCCGGAAGACCAAGGGUUCCUGUCCAACGUUAAUCGGGGCAGGGUGAGUCGACCCCUAAGGCGAGGCCGAAAGGCGUAGUCGAUGGGAAACGGGUUAAUAUUCCCGUACUUGGUGUUACUGCGAAGGGGGGACGGAGAAGGCUAUGUUGGCCGGGCGACGGUUGUCCCGGUUUAAGCGUGUAGGUGUGUGUUCCAGGUAAAUCCGGUUCACUUUAACACUGAGGCGUGACGACGAGGCACUACGGUGCUGAAGCAACAAAUGCCCUGCUUCCAGGAAAAGCCUCUAAGCAUCAGGUAACACGAAAUCGUACCCCAAACCGACACAGGUGGUCAGGUAGAGA